rnacentral:rRNA from 1 species
GGUUAGAUAUAAGGGCGUAUGGUGGAUGCCUAGACACUAAAAAACGAUGAAGGACGUAGUAGCCUGCGAUAAGCUUCGGGGAGGUGGCAAGCAACCUUUGAUCCGGAGAUUUCCGAAUGGGGUAACCCGGUCCGAUUGAAGAUCGGAUCAUCGCUAUCUGAAUUCAUAGGGUAGCGAAGGCAACCCGGUGAAGUGAAACAUCUCAGUAACCGGAGGAAAAGAAACAAAGACUAGUUUUUAAGUUUAUAAGUUUCGUUCCGUUUUGCGGAACUUAAGUUGGUCGGUAUUUAUUUACUGGCUGAUGAACUUAUAAACUUAUUAACUAGCCCAUUCCCCAAGUAGUGGCGAGCGAACGGGGAAAAGUCGAAAACCUUGUUAGUGUUUUAGCGGAUGGUCGGGGGGUCGCAAGACUUCUCGGCCGCUGCUAAUUAAAGGUUUGGGCCGUUGCUAACAAGGAUACGCGAGUCAGUCGCGUUGUCUUCCCAAUAAGACAGGCAAGGGAAAAGCCCGAGCAAUCGGGACAGCUUUCCUAGAAGAACUCCUGUGGAAACAGGGACCAGAGAAGGUGAAAGUCCUGUACUCAAAAGGAGCUGUAAUCUUGCUGUGAUUGACUUAAGUACCACGGGCCUCGUGAAAUCCCGUGGGAAUCCGGCACGACUAUGUGCCAAGACUAAAUAUUUUUUAGUGAUCGAUAGUGAACUAGUACCGUGAGGGAAAGGUGAAAAGCAGGCCGGUUAGGCCGAUGAAAAGUACCUGAAACCAUACGCUUACAAGGAGUUGCGGCCCGCAAGGGUUGCAGCGUUCCUAUUGAAGAAUGAGCCAACGAGUUUGCUGUGCGUGGCUUGGUUAAUCUCCCAUGGAGAGGAAGCCGAAGUGAAAGCGAGCCUUAAUAGGGCGUUUGUCGCGCACACGAGACCCGAAACCGGGUGAGCUAGCCAUGACCAGGGUGAAGGUCCGAGAAAUCGGACUGGAGGCCCGAACCCACAUGCUGUGCAACACAUGGGGAUGAGUUGUGGCUAGAGGUGAAAUUCCAAUCGAACUCGGUAAUAGCUGGUUCUCCCCGAAAUAGCUGUAGGGCUAGCCUCGGAUAUACAAUAUAGGGGUAGAGCACUGAAUGGUUCAAUUCGGCGAAAGUCGAUUGCACCAAUCAAACUCCGAAUACUAUGUUUUUAGUCCGGGAGUCAGACUGUGAGGGCUAAGCUUCACUAGUCAAAAGGGAAACAGCCCAGAUCGUCGCUUAAGGUCCCUAAAUCCGAAUUAAGUGUUAAAGGUGGUGGAAAGACUCAAACAACUAGGAGGUUGGCUUAGAAGCAGCCAUCCUUUAAAGAAAGCGUAACAGCUCACUAGUCGAGUUUUUCUGCGUCGAAAAUAAUCGGGACUAAAUUCGGUACCGAAGGCACGGGUUCUCCGAUUUAUCGGAGAGCGGUAGGGGAGCUUUCUCAAGUCAGCGAAGUCGUAUCCGUAAGGAGCGGUGGAGGCUUGAGAAGUGAGAAUGUUGGCAUAAGUAACAAAAACUCUGAUGAAAACUCAGAGCACCGAUAGUCUAAGGUUUCCUGGGCAACGCAAAUCGACCCAGGGUUAGUCGAUCCUAAGGCGAGGCCGAAAGGCGUAGCCGAUGGAAGAGCAGGUUAAUAUUCCUGCACCUCCGUAUUUUUGUCCGUAAGUGCGCUUCUAUGUGGUAAGAGAGCGAUUUGGUUAUGCGCUUGGGCCGUUCCGAUUUAUCGUGGACGGUUCGCAGGUGAAGCCGCAAGGUGGAGCCGAUUCUUGCAAAGUAGGGGCCUAGAAAAUCUUAUGGGCGCUAAAGAUACGGAGACCGUACCGUAAACCGACACAGGUGGACAAGGCGGGAAGCCUAAGGUGUACGAGAGAACCCUCGUUUAGGAACUAAGCAAAAAAACUAGGCGUAACUUCGGGAUAAGCCUUGCCCCCCACAUAACUUUCGAGAAAAGAAAAGAGAAAGUGUGAAAUUUAUAGUGUUUCCGGAAUAAAUCGCGGAAAAAUCUUUCAAAGAUUUGGCAAGUAUCUUAAUACUUGCAUCGAAAGUUAUGUGGGGGGUUGCAAUAAAAAUAUCUCAAGUGACUGUUUACCAAAAACACAGGUCCCUGCAAAGCCGUAAGGCAACGUAUAGGGGCUGAUGCCUGGCCAGUGUCAGAACGUUAAGGGGAGAGGUCAUCCGUCGCAAGACGGGGCAGCCUUGAACUUAAGCGCUGAUGAACGCCGGCGAUAACUAUAAUCGUCCUAAGGUAGCGAAAUCCCUUGUCGGGUGAGUUCCGACCCGCACGAAUGGCAUAACAACUUGAGAACUGUCUUAACGAGGGACUCGGUGAAAUUGCAAGAGGGGUGAAGAUGCCCUUUACCCACGGCUAGACGAAAAGACCCCGUGAAGCUUUACUACAACUUGAUAUUGGAUUAAGACUAAACAUGUUCAGCGUAGGUGGGAGCCGCAAGGCGCCAAUGAGACACCACCCUUGUUUAAUUUUAAUUCUAAUCCGAGACCGUAAUCCGGUUUGGGAGACAGUGUCUGGUGGGUAGUUUAACUGGGGCGGUUGCCUCCUAAAAAGUAACGGAGGCGUUUACAAAGGUUGGCUUAGCCCGGAUGGAAACCGGGCUGGACGCGUAAAGGCACAAGCCAGCUUUACUCAAAGACUUACAAGUCGCUGAGUUGCGAAAGCAUAACUUAGUGAUCCGACGAUCCAAUAUAGGAUGGUCGAAGCUCAACGGAUAAAAGCUACUCCGGGGAUAACAGGCUGAUCUCCCCCAAGAGUCCAUAUCGACGGGGAGGUUUGGCACCUCGAUGUCGGCUCAUCGCAUCCUGGGGCUGGAGAAGGUCCCAAGGGUUUGGCUGUUCGCCAAUUAAAGCGGUACGCGAGCUGGGUUCAGAACGUCGUGAGACAGUUCGGUCUCCUAUCUGUCGUGGGCGCGGAAAUUUGAGAAAACUCUUCCCUAGUACGAGAGGACCGGGAAGGACGAACCUCUAGUGUACCAGUUGUCCUACCAAGGGCAUAGCUGGGUAGCUACGUUCGGCAACGGAUAAGCGCUGAAAGCAUCUAAGCGCGAAGCCGGUUUCAAGAUUAAAUUUCGUUUAGACCCCUUGAAGAACACAAGGUUGAUAGGCGGCAGGUGUAAGGUCCGUAAGGAUUUGAGCCGAGCCGUACUAAUAGGUCGAUUCUAACCACA